UGAUAGAACAGGUUUUAAUCAGCAUCUAAUAUUGUCUUCUGAAUGAAAUGUUGUGAAGGCACUGCACACGAAGAAUAUCUCUGGGGAAGAAAAACAUGGUUAUGAAUUUGAAGAGAGAGAAUUAAAUUCAUAUCUUCUCCCAGCCAUUCUCCAUUGCCCUGGCAAUUCUGCUGUUGGUUUGUUUUGGGCUUUUUUCCCUUCAAUUUUACUGUUUCACAGACGGUUCAGGCUGGUGGAAUAAUGGAAAAGCAUUUAAUUAAGGAUAUAUUUGUGAAACUUCCCUG
rnacentral:lncRNA from 1 species